UUAUAUUAGUGAUGGCUUUUAAAGUUCUCACAGACAGGCAUCUCUCUGAAAGACAGCGAAGAUCAGUUUUAAACGGAAACAGUA
ensembl:snoRNA SNORD79 Small nucleolar RNA SNORD79